GGGACUUGGCAACGUCCACAGUGACAGGGCUGACAUGUAAGAACAGACAACCAUUCACACGUGUGCUGGUAGCCUGAAGAAACUAGACACAGUUGGUAGAACAAGCAAAGUAAGUUUCUAAAGGAUUCCAAAUAACCCGCUGAUCAGGUGAGAGAAAAAAAUAUUUUUUGAAAGGACAUGGGUUUUUUCCAGCUAUGAUACAAUAUUUCCCUGAUGUUGAUGCCAGGACAGUCACAGAUACCAUGGAUAAGAGAAAACAAGGUGUAUUGACGGUUAUUUCCUCUCUUCAUUCCUCUCAUAUCAAAGAACAGGAGCCACCGGAACUCAUAGGGGAUUUUUGAGUUCAUUUUCAGGUGAAGCAUUGAUUUGGUCAUUUGCAAGACUCCCGUCAUUUUGAAGGAGAUACACAGAGACAUCUAAAUUGAAAAACCUAAAAAGUGUUGAAGUUUAAAGGACUGGGUUUAUUUCUAUUAUUUAUUUAUUUUAAACCAGAAUCAAUGGAUGCACCCAACACGGAAGCGAUUCUGCAAGCCUCGCUGUCGCGGACCAUGUUCGGACCCCACUUUCUUUUUAUUAAAUCUUUGAUCCUAUGAAGUGCACUGUUUCCCUUUAUUCCGGACCCAAGAACGCAGACCCCCGACUGUCCCAAUCAUGGACUAAAUGAACUGCAAUUCUCACCAUCCCCAUAAGAGGUGAAUCUCACGUGGUUGGUCCACUUCAGCCAAUCGUGGCUGCUCCGGGUGAUGACGUCAUCCUGCCGUGCCAUGUGGAGCCUCCGGUAACCGUGGCGGGACUGACGGUGGAGUGGUCGAGGCCCGACCGUCAGCCGGACCCCAGAGAUCGGCUGAGCCGGGUCGAAUAUGUGCAUCUUUACCGGGACACCCGCGAGGUCCCGGACAUGAAGAUCCCAUCAUACGUCGGUCGGACAGAACUGUUCACAGAAGGCCUGAGACACGGCGACAUAUCGCUCAGGAUCAUGAACGUGACGCUUGCAGACAAAGGGAGAUUCAGAUGUUUCAUCCCGAAGUUAAACGGCCAAAUACAGUCUUCAGUUGUUCAGCUUGUCGUUGGCGAGUUAGUCUGUUAAAAAUUUGUGAUCUAGAUUAAAGCUGCAGUAAAAAUGUUGACGUAAAAUUGAUCAUAUCAACAUUUUAUCUUGUCUAUACAGUGCUAAAAAUAUAAUAUACAAGAUCAGUGCCUCGAAUAUCUUUUUGUCAACAACUUAUGUUACUUAUGCAACUUACAACUUAUUGCUGCCCCAUAGCAAAGGGCAGUUGUCUCCUUUAAAUAUUAUUGUAAGUCAUUGCACUCUUUACACUUUUGUUUUUUCCAGAACGAAAAUCUGCUACAACAGAGACGCCUAUGCAACCCACAAGUCACCAAACUCCUGAUCCGAGGAAAGAAGGGGAUGGUAAAGGUGGUUGGUCCAGUCAGAAGAUAGUGAUCCCAGUCGUGGUUGUCUGCGUUGUCUUCCUGAUGAUCCUGGUUGUUGUUGUUGGAGUCAUAAGAUAUUCACCACAUUGUGUCACAAAGUGUCAAAAACAAAAACUUAUAUUGGUACCGACUGUCUAAGGGCACAUUGGUAGACUCCUACAAAGAUGAGAACACUACCCGCAUUUCUCAGCAGGAUAUUUCCAAUUAGUUUGAGGAGUCAAACCAGCAACCCUUCCAGCUACAGAUGGACUCACUGGAUCUGCAGGAGCGAGGCUUUUUAUGUUGUGGAAGAAAGCAGACCCCCACCAAAGGUCCCGUAAGUUUCUCUGAUUUGAAGACUGAUUGUGUGACAUCUGAAGAGUCUUAAAUAUGAAAUAGAAGAUCUGUUAUUUGUCCAAUUGUUGACUUUAUGUCAUGAAGGGGAAAGUACAUCUGAAGGCAUCAGGAUUAUUUGCACCUGCUGUGUCUGGACUGAAACAGGUUUUUGUAUAGUUUCACCCUAUUUGAAUUUUGUUUCCAUAGCUUUGCAUAUGGCUUUUAGUAGGACGUGGCAGCAAUGAGUCAGAGCUAAGUUUGCAUUUAAAUGUAAGACAUUAUUCAUCAGGGAAAGUAUAUGCGUUCUUUUUUUAAUUUAUUCUGUUUAAUAAAUUAAUUACGGGGUUAUGUUCUAUGUGUGUGAUGUGAAGAGGCUACAAACAUUUAAUUGUGUUGUGAAAUACGAGAUAUUUAAACCUUGUAACAGUGACUGUCAAGUUAUGUCUUAACUUAUUCUAAACUGUUGUUCUGUUGUUAUAUGCUGUUUUUAUUCUAAGAUGUUUAAAUAAAAGCGGGCUUUUUAUUGGUUAAAUGUUGUUCUUGUGAUCUAACAGAUAACCUUUGUUAAUGUUACACUUCAAAUAAUAUUUUCAAAUGUAUUUGUCAGUUCUAUGUUGUGCUGUGUGUGAAGAAAUUAUGAGCACAGUUGAUUAUUCAAUGUUAAAAGCUACCUCUUGUGUUACGCUGCUCAAGCAGGUACAUUGCUUGUAUUGCAUGUUCCUCAAAGUUAUGUUUUAGGAUAUAGGUCAGGCUUUAAUUUUAGCCUCAUAGCUUUUCUUAUUUCUGUUAUUUUUUUUCUCAGUGUGUUUACAUCAUAUGAGCUGUGACUAAUAUAUCUGUGCUGAAGGUCCCGUGAUGUCAGCUGCUUAUCUCUGUGACCUGUGACAGUAAUUGGGUAAAGGUUAUUAUCACAUACAUGUAGCUAAAUUAAUUCUCUCAUUUAACCAAUCCCUCAAGGGAGCAGUGGGGAGCAGCCCGGGGAACUCCAGAUUUGACCCUGGAGACUUGAGAAUCUGUUUUUGAUGGUGAGGGAAACCAGAGAAACCCACACAAACAGGGGGAGAUCAUACACAUCCACACAGAAAGGCCCGGGGUGACCUUGAUUCAAACCCACAACCUUCUUGCUGUGAGGCCACAGUGCUAACCAUUGGGCCACCAUGCUGCGAUAAUACAUGUGCUUAUAUGAUACAUGUUAGUUUUAAUUUAUAUGGUUUACUAUUAAACCGAGAUAUGUCUUGUUUUCACUCCAUGAAAGUUGAAAGCUUUUGGCAAUACUAGUUGUAGGCUCCAGGUAUUCAUUUCAGAUGAGAACCAACAGCGAUGCCAAUUUAAGCCACAGCUUCUGUGUCAUAACAUCCUCUGCUAAGUUAAAUAUCUUUUAGAGCAACUCACACAAAGAUAAUUGUUAGAUAUGGAGUGCAGAGAACAUCAGCUCGUUAAAAAUGUUCAUUAGAGUCACGGUAAUAAACAAAAACAUUUUGUUCAGUAUGUAGCCAUUAUAACUUAACAUCAUGAUGCAAUUUUAGUGAGAACAUGUUUCAGACAAAAAUCAACAACAAGACAGACAACAACAGCAUUUGAAAUUGAAAGUUGAAACUUUUUGGAAACUUUUUUUAUUUCUCUCAUAAAUUCUAAAGUGUUUCCCCUGUGGUUGUUUUAUUGAGGAAGACCUUGCAGAAUAAACAACAGACGUUACGUGAGAUAUUUAACUGAAUCAUUUCCUGCUCUAGAACAAGUACGACAAUUGUGUUAUCUAGAGUUCACGGAAUCUUUGGUUGUUUUUUUUCUGUCCCAGAAACCGAGACUCUGGGUGUUAUGUGGGUAAGUCAGCUGUUUGACAUGGUUUUGUUUUCUUAAUGAUCUAGGCAAAGCUCCACAAGACUUUGUUUAUUAAUUUGCAGAGGCAGAGGGAGAGAACAAUUUUUUUUCUCCAAAUAAAGUACAUUUCCAAAUUCCAA